rnacentral:misc_RNA from 1 species
CCGAGUUUACAACUCCCAAGCCCAUGUGAACAUUACCAACUGUUGCCUCGGCGGAUCUCUGCCCCGGUGCGUCCAACCCGGACCAGGCCCGCCAGAGGACCACCUAAACUCUUUGUAUACUCCUCCGGUUUUAUAUCUACCUUCUCGCGCCUCUCGUAAGCGUUCAUAAAUAAAUCA